CUAAUAUAUUUUAUAUGAAUCCAUAUAGAUAUUCUUCUUCUCCUGAUUCUUGGUUAUUGGGUUUCGUACAGAAGCAUAGAAGAGGAUUUGGGUUUUGGGCAAUGGCUUGUUUUGUCUCUACAUGUAUGUUUUUUCUCUAUCAAUAGCUGAUUUUUGCUGCAAACUUCCUUUGGGGUUUUCUGUUCGAACCUCUGCUUUUAUUGGUUUUGAGAUUUUGAGCAUUCAAAAAAAUAGUAAUAAUAAUUUAAAAGAUUUUUUUUUUGUUUGCAUGUAUUAUUUUCUUUUUAGUUGUCCAAUGUUUUUGCCUUCUCCUUUCAUGGUCCUGGAAUAAAUAGUAAUAACUAACAGAAAGAAUUGGAACAUUCAUUUUUGGGUAUUGGCUUCAAACUGUUAAUAAUUAAAUUAUUAUUUACUAGUUUAUGCUUUUAUUUGAUUUAGUUGUUGAAACAAAUGGGAAAGACUGGGAUUUGUGUUUUUUUUUUGCAAAGGAAUGGUAAUGCCUGAUUCUGCACUCAUAAAUAAAGACCAGGUUUUUAAUGUGUACCAUUUUGCUUUGUGUGUGAAUGUUUCUAUAUUUUCAUCAAUUUUUCUAUAAAUGUUAUUAUAUUCUUUUUUAUAAUUUGGGUAAUCUUGCUGACAUAAUUUUUUUUGCCCUGUUUCUGGACUUUCAGUACAGAAUAGGCAUAAAUCUGUUGAGCGUAAUGAGUAAAGACUAGAAAGCUGAAGAUUGUGUUUGAAUGCUGAAUCUGGUGAAGGAUAUUG
rnacentral:lncRNA from 1 species